AAGAGCCGGUGCAAGCGAGGGAGCCGUCGGACAGGCAAAUCCGUUCGAUAAGGCAAAAGCGUGAUGCGGACCGAAGUUUAGUAGGGAAGCAGGUGAGCCAGCUGUCGAGAAAAGCCGCUAUUGUUCAUGAUAUACCCGUACCGUAAACCGACACAGGUGGAUGAGGAGAGAAUCCUAAGGCCGACGGGAGAAGCGUUGUUAAGGAACUCGGCAAAAUGACUCCGUAACUUCGGGAGAAGGGGUGCCUGCGAAAGCAGGCCGCAGAGAAGAGGCCCAAGCAACUGUUUAGCAAAAACACAGGUCUAUGCGAAACCGAAAGGUGAGGUAUAUGGGCUGACGCCUGCCCGGUGCUGGAAGGUUAAGGGGAGAGGUUAGCGAAAGCGAAGCCUUGAACUUAAGCCCCAGUAAACGGCGGCCGUAACGAUAACGGUCCUAAGGUAGCGAAAUUCCUUGUCGGGUAAGUUCCGACCCGCACGAAAGGCGUAAUGAUUUGGGCACUGUCUCGACAACGCACCCGGUGAAAUUGAAGUACCAGUGAAGAUGCUGGUUACCCGCGCCAGGACGGAAAGACCCCAUGGAGCUUUACUCCAGCUUGAUACUGGGACUCGGUAUUGCAUGUACAGGAUAGGUGGGAGGCUAAGAAGCAAGGACGCCAGUCUUUGCGGAGCCGCUGUUGGGAUACCACCCUUGUGGUACUGGGUUUCUAACGUACAGCCAUGAACUGGCUGGCGGACAAUGUCAGGUGGGGAGUUUGACUGGGGCGGUCGCCUCCGAAAGGGUAUCGGAGGCGCUCAAAGGUUCCCUCAGAAUGGUUGGAAACCAUUCGAAGAGUGCAAAGGCAGAAGGGAGCUUGACUGCGACACCGACGGGUGGAGCAGGUACGAAAGUAGGACUUAGUGAUCCGGUGGUAUAAAGUGGGAUUGCCAUCGCUCAACGGAUAAAAGCUACCCUGGGGAUAACAGGCUUAUCACUCCCAAGAGUUCACAUCGACGGAGUGGUUUGGCACCUCGAUGUCGGCUCAUCGCAUCCUGGGGCUGGAGUAGGUCCCAAGGGCUGGGCUGUUCGCCCAUUAAAGCGGUACGCGAGCUGGGUUCAGAACGUCGUGAGACAGUUCGGUCCCUAUCCGGCGCGGGCGUAGGAUAUUUGAGAGGAGCUGUCCUUAGUACGAGAGGACCGGGAUGGACGGACCACUGGUGUACCAGUUGCAUACCAAAUGCAGAGCUGGGUAGCCAAGUCUGGAAGGGAUAAACGCUGAAGGCAUCUAAGCGUGAAGCCCCCCUCAAGAUGAGAUAUCCCAUUCGAAAGAAGUAAGACCCCUUAGAGAGUAUGAGGUAGAUAGGGCAGAGGUGGAAGUGCAGUAAUGCAUGGAGCUGACUGUUACUAAUCGGUCGAGGGCUUGACCU
rnacentral:rRNA from 1 species